AUAAUAAUAAAACUAAUAAAUAAAAAUAUAACAAAUAGUGUGCACAUGUGGCAGCAUAGGAUAGGUUGAAUAAUAUUAGUAAAGUAAAAAUACUUAACCUUCUAAAACCCACAUUUAAUUUGUGUUUCUGAAGAACAGUUCCCUCUUUUCUUUCAAACACUCUCUCUUUUCUUCUAUGCUUUACCACUCCUUCCAUCUCAAACUCAGAUUCUUGAUCCUUUGCUUGUUGAACAGAAGAUACCUAGCUGAUCAAGGUUUCAAGAGCAACCUUUCUACCGAUUGAAUUUUCGUUUUCCCAAUUGGUACCGUAAGGGUUUCCAUAGGACGCAGGACAUCUCUAGCCUUCUUAAGCUUGGUUGCCUACACUAAAGUAGGUGAUGAUGUAUCUUUGGAGCAAGCGUUGGAGACUGAGGAAGACCCAGCCCCUAGUGCUUAGGAUCUCUAUUAGCUCCUAGUUUAGAUGAUCUUUAUUCUGAAAGACUAUUAGCAUUUAUUUACUUUGAUCUGUAUUUUGGAAAACAAUCUUUAGGACCCUUUAAUAUUUAGCUAGCUUUGUAUUUUGAACAACUUGGAAACUUGUACUUUGUCCUUCUUUUCGUUUUAAUUUCCCAUCUAUUUUGGAUGACUGUAAUUUAUACUUAUAUUGUCAUCUACUACUCUUAACUGCUUUCUAUUAUCAUGAUUU